GGAUGAACGCUGACAGAAUGCUUAACACAUGCAAGUCUUUGGCGAAUCUGUGCUUGCACAGGUUAGCCAAGGCGGACGGGUGAGUAACGCGUAAAGAACUUGCCCUGCAGACAGGGAUAACAGACGGAAACGACUGAUAACACCUGAUACAAUUGCCGGCGCGCAUGUGCCUGGCAAUGAAAAGAGAUGCUGCAGGAGAGCUUUGCGUCCUAUUAGCUUGUUGGUGAGGUGACGGCUCACCAAGGCGAUGAUAGGUAGCCGGCCUGAGAGGGUGAACGGCCACAAGGGGACUGAGAUACGGCCCUUACGCCUACGGGAGGCAGCAGUGGGGAAUAUUGGACAAUGGGGGCAACCCUGAUCCAGCAAUUCUGUGUGCACGAAGAAGGUUUUCGGAUUGUAAAGUGCUUUCAGCAGGGAAGAAGAAAGUGACGGUACCUGCAGAAGAAGCGACGGCUAAAUACGUG
rnacentral:rRNA from 1 species